rnacentral:rRNA from 1 species
UGGGGAAUUUUGGACAAUGGGGGAAACCCUGAUCCAGCCAUCCCGCGUGUGCGAUGAAGGCCUUCGGGUUGUAAAGCACUUUUGGCAGGAAAGAAACGUCGCGGGUUAAUACCCCGCGAAACUGACGGUACCUGCAGGAUAAGCACCGGCUAACUACGUGCCAGCAGCCGCGGUAAUACGUAGGGUGCAAGCGUUAAUCGGAAUUACUGGGCGUAAAGCGUGCGCAGGCGGUUCGGAAAGAAAGAUGUGAAAUCCCAGAGCUUAACUUUGGAACUGCAUUUUUAACUACCGGGCUAGAGUGUGUCAGAGGGAGGUGGAAUUCCGCGUGUAGCAGUGAAAUGCGUAGAUAUGCGGAGGAACACCGAUGGCGAAGGCAGCCUCCUGGGAUAACACUGACGCUCAUGCACGAAAGCGUGGGGAGCAAACAGGAUUAGAUACCCUGGUAGUCCACGCCCUAAACGAUGUCAACUAGCUGUUGGGGCCUUCGGGCCUUGGUAGCGCAGCUAACGCGUGAAGUUGACCGCCUGGGGAGUACGGUCGCAAGAUU